rnacentral:lncRNA from 1 species
CCCAUACACAACAUAUACCUACUGCAGCCCAUCAUACAACUCAAACCCACAGUAAUCAACACAUUCAAAGGCCCAGAAUCCAAAGCCCUACAACUAACCCAAACCAUAAACACUAGCCCAUUACCCACAUACUAUCCAAACCAAUCAACCCCACACUAGACCCAAAAUCUCAAGCCCAAUUAAUCUCAAAUCCAAUCCGGCCCGC